rnacentral:rRNA from 1 species
GACGAACGCUGGCGGCGUGCUUAACACAUGCGAGUCGAACGGAAAGGCCCUGCUUUUGUGGGGUGCUCGAGUGGCGAACGGGUGAGUAACACGUGAGUAACCUGCCCUUGACUUUGGGAUAACUUCAGGAAACUGGGGCUAAUACCGGAUAGGAGCUCCUGCUGCAUGGUGGGGGUUGGAAAGUUUCGGCGGUUGGGGAUGGACUCGCGGCUUAUCAGCUUGUUGGUGGGGUAGUGGCUUACCAAGGCUUUGACGGGUAGCCGGCCUGAGAGGGCGACCGGCCACAUUGGGACUGAGAUACGGCCCAGACUCCUACGGGAGGCAGCAGUGGGGAAUAUUGCACAAUGGGCGGAAGCCUGAUGCAGCAACGCCGCGUGCGGGAUGACGGCCUUCGGGUUGUAAACCGCUUUCGCCUGUGACGAAGCGUGAGUGACGGUAAUGGGUAAAGAAGCACCGGCUAACUACGUG